rnacentral:rRNA from 1 species
AGAGUUUGAUCAUGGCUCAGAUUGAACGCUGGCGGCAGGCCUAAUACAUGCAAGUCGAGCGGAAACGAUCCUAGCUUGCUAGGAGGCGUCGAGCGGCGGACGGGUGAGUAACGCGUAGGAAUCUACCCAGUAGCGGGGGAUAGCCCGGGGAAACCCGGAUUAAUACCGCAUACGCCCCACGGGGGAAAGCAGGGGAUCUUCGGACCUUGCACUAUUGGAUGAGCCUGCGUUGGAUUAGCUAGUUGGUGGGGUAAAGGCCUACCAAGGCGACGAUCCAUAGCUGGUCUGAGAGGAUGAUCAGCCACACUGGGACUGAGACACGGCCCAGACUCCUACGGGAGGCAGCAGUAGGGAAUAUUGGACAAUGGGGGCAACCCUGAUCCAGCCAUGCCGCGUGUGUGAAGAAGGCUUUCGGGUUGUAAAGCACUUUCAGUGAGGAAGAAAUGGCCGUGGAUAAUACCCACGGUCUAUGACAUUACUCACAGAAGAAGGACCGGCUAACUCCGUGCCAGCAGCCGCGGUAAUACGGAGGGUCCGAGCGUUAAUCGGAAUUACUGGGCGUAAAGCGCGCGUAGGCGGUUAGAUCAGUCGGGUGUGAAAUCCCCGGGCUUAACCUGGGAACUGCAUUCGAUACUGUCUGACUGGAGUAUGGGAGAGGGUAGUGGAAUUCCACGUGUAGCGGUGAAAUGCGUAGAUAUGUGGAGGAACACCAGUGGCGAAGGCGGCUGCCUGGCCCAAUACUGACGCUGAGGUGCGAAAGCGUGGGGAGCGAACAGGAUUAGAUACCCUGGUAGUCCACGCCGUAAACGAUGUCAACUAGCCGUUGGGGGACUUGAUCCCUUAGUGGCGCAGCUAACGCGAUAAGUUGACCGCCUGGGGAGUACGGCCGCAAGGUUAA